CAGCAGUUUGCACCAGGAAGCUAUGUGUGUUUUGGCUUUUAUACGUUGGGGGUAAUUUCUGGAGCUACAGAGGAGGUUGCCACUGGUGCCGAGGUAGUUGACCUGCUGGUUGCCAUGUGCAAAGCUGCCCUUCAGUCUUCACGCAAGAGCAUCAUAUUUAAACCAUAGGCUACUCUUCUGUUGUUGAUCCAUGCAACCCCCAAACCCUUGCCUUUAAUCCUAAGAGAAAGAGCUAGGAUAGGUUGCAAAAAGCGCUGGACAGUGUCUUGUUAAUCAGGAGGAUGUCACAGGCUCCACAUUCUGAAAUAAAGAAGCAGAUGGACAAGACCGACCCUCUCCCUCAUCCCUUACUACAAUGGAUAUUAGCAAACAACAGAUCACACA